rnacentral:rRNA from 1 species
GAGUUUGAUCAUGGCUCAGAAUGAACGCUGGCGGCGUGCUUUACACAUGCAAGUCGAGCGAGGCGUGUAGCAAUACACAGUCGAGCGGCGAACGGGUGAGUAACGCGUGGAUUAUCUGCCCUGAGGUGGGGGAUAACCCGGGGAAACUCGGGCUAAUACCGCAUGACACCGCGAGGUCAAAGGGGGCGCAAGCUCCCGCCGCAGGAGGAGUCCGCGUUCGAUUAGCUAGUUGGUAGGGUAAUGGCCUACCAAGGCGACGAUCGAUAGCCGGCCUGAGAGGGUGAUCGGCCACACUGGAACUGAGACACGGUCCAGACUCCUACGGGAGGCAGCAGUGGGGAAUUUUGCGCAAUGGGCGAAAGCCUGACGCAGCAACGCCGCGUGGAGGAUGAAGGUCUUUGGAUUGUAAACUCCUGUCAGCAGGGAAAAGCGAAUCGGUCUAAUACGCCGGUGAGUUGAUUGUACCUGCAGAGGAAGCCCCGGCUAACUCUGUGCCAGCCGCCGCGGUAAG